AGAAGGAGACGGUAUCAAGAAGUGGAGCUGGGCAAAAGGAAGGAAGACCCCAAAGGAGCCCUUCACAGCCCUGUGGUCUCCAGUGCACCGUGCGGCCCUUGGUCCCGGGACCAUUUGUUCAUCCAGCGAAUCCCCCUGGUCCCUGCAAGCUGGGCCCACCGGCCUCCCAGAGCCCUAAGCAGUGGCUCUGGCCAGGUAUCAGUGCAAGUGCAGAGGGAGAUGGAGACUUGGAGAAGAGUGUGCGGCCUGGGCACAGCGGAGGCUCCCCAAGGAGCUGAGUCUCGAAGGAUGAGCAGGCUCCGGAAUCCAGGCCAUGACUGCUCACGCAUGACGGAGAUGACAAGAGAUGACAUCUGCCCUGCACACCUGGCACCCAGUAAGUAUCCGGAAAAUGUCCACUGAGUUGGAUUGAACAGAACUGAAUCAAUAAAUCAACAAUCAAUAAACUAAUCAAUAAAGCCAAGGGAGAAGAAACAUGAGAAACGUGCUUUUCACCACAUGUGCUGUGGUGACCUCAGAGACUGCCAGGUCAACCUCACCGAAGCACAGGCUGACCACCGCCCAAAGGCACCUGCCCGGCAGCCUCCACUCAGGGCAAGCCUCCCGAUUCUCACUUCCCACAAUCCCCCCAUGAAGUGGUUUCUGCUCAUAGCGCUCUGGGGGGCUGUGGGAAAUUUGUCCCAUCAGUUCCUGGGCCCUCCUUUCCAUCCCCACCUACUUCUUUUGCAAACCAAUUCAUUCCACUAUUCCUGUGACCAUCGUGCAGCCUCCAUCUCUAGAAUCCUGGCUGGGAGGCUGGCUAGGGGCAGGGAGGCUGGGAGAGCCAGGGGAGGGAGUGGCCAGCCAAGAGAAGCUAAGAAGGCCAGAGCAGACUGGUCAUUAGGAAUAACCUGCAGGUGCCUGUUGACUUCUCCUUUUGUCCCCCACAGCUGAAAAGACACCCCCUCUUUAUUGAACUCAAAGAAUAGAAG